AGCUCCAAUAGCGUAUAUUAAAGUUGUUGCAGUUAAAAAGCUCGUAGUCGGAACAAUGGUUUGGUGAGUGAGCGUCCAGGGCCUUUGGCUCUGCGCACUGCGAUCCACCGACCUUUUGUUAAUUCGGAGGAACGUGCGUGCUUUUCACUAAGUGUGUACGGGAUUCCGAUAUUUUACUUUGAGAAAAAUAGAGUGUUCAAAGCAGGCUUUUGCCUUGAAUACAUUAGCAUGGGAUAAUGAAAUAGGACAUUGGUUCUAUUUUGAUGGUUUACGGACCGAUGUAAUGAUUAAUAGGGACAGUUGGGGACAUUCAUAUUCCACGGCUAGAGGUGAAAUUCUUGGAUUCGUGGAAGAUGAACUACUGCGAAAGCAUUUGUCAAAGAUGUUUUCAUUGAUCAAG
rnacentral:rRNA from 1 species